ACGAAUUGAUUUUGAAGUCGAUCGGACUCGGAGAAGAGAUGGAACCGGUAAGAGGGAGAGUAUGUCAGUGAAUAAUUCCGGUGGAAUGUUUGUCAUCGACGAUGAGAUUGGGAAGUGAUUUUGAUUUAAGCGAUUUUUUGGUGUUCGUCAUCUGCUCUUCUGCAGAUAUCUUUGGUAUGAUCCUCAACAUCUGUUGGUUUCGAUUUCGAUUUGAUCCUCACGGUUGUGGAACGAUGGCGAUGGCGUUGUUGAUUGUAAGGAAGGAGGGUGAAGGGACGAAGAGGAGUAUUUGCGGCGAACAAUUUAGGGUUAAUCUGGG
rnacentral:lncRNA from 1 species